AUAUUGUAUGUGAGCAAGGGAAAUCGGCAAAUGGAUGAAAAACCUCGGGAUAAUCAUUGGCUCUAGCAUGCUAGAACUGGGCUUACAAGGGGAAUCUGACUGUUUAAUAAAAACAUAGCUUUGUGUGUACGCAAAGUGAAUUCUGCCCAGUGCUUGGGACGUUAAGGAAGUAAUUUUAAGUACGCACCUGUAAACGGCGGGAGUAACUAUGACUCUCUUAAGGUAGCCAAAUGCCUCGUCGCCUAAUUAGCGACGCGCAUGAAUGGAGCAACGAGAUUCCCACUGUCCCUGCUCACAGAUUUGCGAACCUACAGCCAAGGGAACGGGCUUGGGACAUGCAGCGGGGAAAGAAGACCCUGUUGAGCUUGACUCUAGCCAAGCACAGGCCUCUGUGACUAUAUCGUAGCGAGGUGGGAGAAAUGUGUGAGACCACUGACAUAGUCGGCGGGGGCACUCGCAAAGCUUGGUGGGGAGUUUGGCUGGGGCGGCACGACUACUAAAACAUAACGUAGACGUCCAAAGGUAAGCUCCGAGGGGAUGGAAACCACUCCGAGAGUAUAAGGGCAAAAGCUUGCUUUAGUUAUUAAUGUAAAUUAAUAAUACUGGAAACAGGGGCCUAGAGAUCCUCUAUGAAACUAAGCAUAGAGGUGACGGAAAAGUUACCACAGGGAUAACUGGCUUGUGGCGGCCGAGCGUCCAUAGCGACGCCGCUUUUUGAUUCUUCGAUGUCGGCUCUUCCGAGCAUGGUGGAGUAUCAGCCACCAAGUGUGUGAUUGUUCACCAACUAACAGGGAACGUGAGCUGGGUUUAGACCGUCGCGAGACAGGUUAGUUUUACCCUACUGCAUCGCGUCCGAAAGUAGGUCGGGGCAGUACGAGAGGAAGUGCCGAUCAGAACCGCUGGUGAUACUUUCGUCUGUUAAGGCGCGAAGUGUAGCUACGUUCUUCUUAUAAUAGCUGAAAGGCUCUAAGCUAGAAUGAAUACUUAAGGACGCAAAGAUAUGAAAACUACAUAUGUAAGGGAUGAAGGUUGUACCAAAAAAGCUUUUGCGAAAUUUUUAGACCACUAAUUUCCUUUUUUAAAAAAUGCUUGCCUCGAAAAAUAACGGAAAUUCUGGGGAAAAGGAAAAAUUAUUUUUUUUCGCCACUGUUCGG
rfam:Enterocytozoon bieneusi H348 ctg01_971, whole genome shotgun sequence.